UACGUAGGGAGCAAGCGUUGUCCGGAAUCAUUGGGCGUAAAGCGCGCGUAGGUGGCCUCAUAAGUCCGCUGUGAAAGUCAAAGGCUCAACCUUUGAAAGCCGGUGGAUACUGUGAGGCUAGAGUACGGAAGAGGCGAGUGGAAUUCCUGGUGUAGCGGUGGAAUGCGCAAAUAUCAGGAGGAACACCAAUAGCGAAGGCAGCUCGCUGGGACGUUACUGACACUGAGGCGCGAAAGCGUGGGGAGCGAACAGG
rnacentral:rRNA from 1 species